AAGUGGAAAAGGAUGUGGCGUUGCCCAGACAACUAGGAUGUUGGCUUAGAAGCAGCCAUCAUUUAAAGAGUGCGUAAUAGCUCACUAGUCGAGUGACACUGCGCCGAAAAUGUACCGGGGCUAAACAUAUUACCGAAGCUGUGGAUUGUCCUUUGGACAAUGGUAGGAGAGCGUUCUAAGGGCGUUGAAGCAUGAUCGCAAGGACAUGUGGAGCGCUUAGAAGUGAGAAUGCCGGUGUGAGUAGCGAAAGACGGGUGAGAAUCCCGUCCACCGAUUGACUAAGGUUUCCAGAGGAAGGCUCGUCCGCUCUGGGUUAGUCGGGUCCUAAGCUGAGGCCGACAGGCGUAGGCGAUGGAUAACAGGUUGAUAUUCCUGUACCACCAUUAUUCGUUUUAAGCGAUGGGGGGACGCAGUAGGAUAGGCGAAGCGUGCUGUUGGAGUGCACGUCCAAGCAGUGAGAUUGAGUGUUAGGCAAAUCCGGCACUCUUAAGAUUGAGCUGUGAUGGGGAGAGGAACUUGUUCCUCGAGUCGUUGAUUUCACACUGCCGAGAAAAGCCUCUAGCUAGAAUAACGGUGCCCGUACCGCAAACCGACACAGGUAGUCAAGAUGAGAAUUCUAAGGUGAGCGAGCGAACUCUCGUUAAGGAACUCGGCAAAAUGACCCCGUAACUUCGGGAGAAGGGGUGCUCUUUGAGGUUCACGCUUCGAAGAGCCGCAGUGAAUAGGCCCAAGCGACUGUUUAUCAAAAACACAGGUCUCUGCUAAACCGUAAGGUGACGUAUAGGGGCUGACGCCUGCCCGGUGCUGGAAGGUUAAGAGGAGUGGUUAGCGCAAGCGAAGCUACGAAUCGAAGCCCCAGUAAACGGCGGCCGUAACUAUAACGGUCCUAAGGUAGCGAAAUUCCUUGUCGGGUAAGUUCCGACCCGCACGAAAGGCGUAACGAUUUGGGCACUGUCUCAACGAGAGACUCGGUGAAAUCAUAGUACCGGUGAAGAUGCCGGUUACCCGCGACAGGACGGAAAGACCCCGUGGAGCUUUACUGUAGCCUGAUAUUGAAAUUCGGUACAGUUUGUACAGGAUAGGUAGGAGCCUUAGAAGCGUGAGCGCUAGCUUACGUGGAGGCAUUGGUGGGAUACUACCCUAAUUGUAUUGGAUUUCUAACCCGCAGCACUUAUCGUGCUGGGAGACAGUGUCAGGCGGGCAGUUUGACUGGGGCGGUCGCCUCCUAAAGAGUAACGGAGGCGCUCAAAGGUUCCCUCAGAAUGGUUGGAAAUCAUUCAUAGAGUGUAAAGGCAUAAGGGAGCUUGACUGCGAGACCUACAAGUCGAGCAGGGUCGAAAGACGGACUUAGUGAUCCGGUGGUUCCGCAUGGAAGGGCCAUCGCUCAACGGAUAAAAGCUACCCCGGGGAUAACAGGCUUAUCUCCCCCAAGAGUUCACAUCGACGGGGAGGUUUGGCACCUCGAUGUCGGCUCAUCGCAUCCUGGGGCUGUAGUCGGUCCCAAGGGUUGGGCUGUUCGCCCAUUAAAGCGGUACGCGAGCUGGGUUCAGAACGUCGUGAGACAGUUCGGUCCCUAUCCGUCGUGGGCGUAGGAAAUUUGAGAGGAGCUGUCCUUAGUACGAGAGGACCGGGAUGGACAUACCUCUGGUGUACCAGUUGUCGUGCCAACGGCAUAGCUGGGUAGCUAUGUAUGGACGGGAUAAGUGCUGAAAGCAUCUAAGCAUGAAGCCCCCCUCGAGAUGAGAUUUCCCAACUUCGGUUAUAAGAUCCCUCAAAGAUGAUGAGGUGAAU
rnacentral:rRNA from 1 species